AUUACUUCUAGGCCUUUUGGCUAAGAUCAAGUGUAGUAUCAUUCUCAGGUUAACUUUUUCCAAAAGUAACCUCUACCAGCCCAGUUUUUAUGGACUGAAAAGGAGGGAGAAGCUGGGUGUGGUGGCACACUGUUGCAAUCCCAGCACUAGGAAGGCUGAGGCAGGAAGAUCU
rnacentral:snRNA from 1 species